rnacentral:rRNA from 1 species
UAGGGAAUCUUCGGCAAUGGGGGGAAGCCUGACCGAGCAACGCCGCGUGAGUGAAGAAGGUUUUCGGAUCGUAAAGCUCUGUUGUUAAGGAAGAACGAGUGUGAGAAUGGAAAGUUCAUGCUGUGACGGUACUUAACCAGAAAGGGACGGCUAACUACGUGCCAGCAGCCGCGGUAAUACGUAGGUCCCGAGCGUUGUCCGGAUUUAUUGGGCGUAAAGCGAGCGCAGGCGGUUAGAAAAGUCUGAAGUGAAAGGCAGUGGCUCAACCAUUGUAGGCUUUGGAAACUGUUUAACUUGAGUGCAGAAGGGGAGAGUGGAAUUCCAUGUGUAGCGGUGAAAUGCGUAGAUAUAUGGAGGAACACCGGUGGCGAAAGCGGCUCUCUGGUCUGUAACUGACGCUGAGGCUCGAAAGCGUGGGGAGCGAACAGG